UAUUGCACAAUGGGGGAAACCCUGAUGCAGCGACGCCGCGUGAGUGAAGUAGUAUUUCGGAAUGUAAAGCACUAUCAGCAGGGAAGAAAAUGACGGUACCUGAUCAAGAAGCAUCGGCUAACUACGUGCCAGCAGCCGCGGUAAUACGUAGGGGGCAAGCGUUAUCCGGAUUUACUGGGUGUAAAGGGAGCGUAGACGGUGAUGCAAGUCAGAAGUGAAAGCCCGGGGCUCAACUCCGGGACUGCUGUUGAAACUGUGUGACUGGAGUGCAGGAGAGGUAAGCGGAAUUCCUGGUGUAGCGGUGAAAUGCGUAGAUAUCAGGAGGAACACCAGUGGCGAAGGCGGCUUACUGGACUGUAACUGACGUUGAGGCUCGAAAGCGUGGGGAGCAAACAG
rnacentral:rRNA from 1 species